rnacentral:rRNA from 1 species
CAGUCGCCGCGGUAAUACGUAGGGUGCAAGCGUUAAUCGGAAUUACUGGGCGUAAAGCGUGCGCAGGCGGUUCUAUAAGACAGAUGUGAAAUCCCCGGGCUCAACCUGGGAACUGCAUUUGUGACUGUAGAGCUGGAGUGCGGCAGAGGGGGAUGGAAUUCCGCGUGUAGCAGUGAAAUGCGUAGAUAUGCGGAGGAACACCGAUGGCGAAGGCAAUCCCCUGGGCCUGCACUGACGCUCAUGCACGAAAGCGUGGGGAGCAAACAGGAUUAGAUACCCCGGUAGUCCCUGUCUCUUAUAC